UUUUAUUUGGCUACAAGGACGGAAGCUCACUUAAUGAUCCCCAGCACGGUUUUCUUCCCCUUCGCAUCAGCGGGAUGGAGUGUGAACCUGGACUUCUGCCCUCCCCUGGUGGCCAUUUGAAGAUAUGAGGAGAAGGAGGAGGAAGAGGAGGAGGAGAUGCAUCCGCACACAACAGAAGGGGAACGCCACCGAGAUGUCAAGGAGUCCCGAGCCUCCGUCGUCCUGGGCCACCGUCUGCGCGUCCCCCCGCUCCGGGCCGAAGGGGUAGAAGUCCUCCAGGGGCACGGCCGCCUCCGCCCCUCCAGGCGGCAGC